AACGCCACACCUCACCGACAAGCCCUGAUGCUCUAGUCUACCGUGAUGACUGUCUUCGGCUUGCCUUGUUCCGUAUAUAGACCGACCAGCCAGCAGUUAGAAAUGUUAAUUUCUUAUCACAAUGUUCCAUAUAAAAAGGAGAGAUGGAGCCAGUAAAUUCCACACACCAUACAUAUAUAGUACUUUCUGAACUGAAUAGGAUUGUUAUCACCACGCAAUUGUUUUUUUUUUCUUAUUCACAAUUUUGUUUUUGAUUUUUCCCCUAACUGUUGAGUAGGAAAGGGAGGUAUCGAGAAUGAAGACGUGACAGCUUCAGUAGCUCGCUUUAGGCCACUCGAGGGCUUGGCAUGCGUCAGUUUCUCUUCCAUCGGGUAGGAAACAUAGAGCAAGCAGCGCGUGCGUUACUGGCUGCGCUACUACAUAAACGUUUAUCAGUAACGGUGGAAAAACAAUAUCAGUAACGGUCGGGGCCGCCGUUACUAACUUCGUGUUACUAAUGAUGACGACCGUUACUGAUGUACAUAUCAUCAGUGGCA
rnacentral:lncRNA from 1 species